AUGGAAAGAUACUUCACACCUGUGCGUGGCUCCUCAGAGGAUGAGGUGAAAAUUUACAAACAUUACCGUCCCAUACCUCAACAGCAUCCUCACAACCAUUAUCACCACCAUGGCUCACACAGUCAAAGCUCUUCAAGCGGUCAUGGAAAACACAGUGAUAAACAUACUUACCAUCACCACGACAACCAGCAUCACUUUUAUCAUCCCGCAAACCCUAAAAUGUCUGGAGACCAUCACAGCUUCUCUAAAAGGUCUUCCUCCAGCCUGUCCUCUUCCACUUCUUCAUCUGCAUCUUGGACCUCAGAGCCCAGUCUGGAUGAUGAGACGUAUCUCAUGCACAAACCCCAGCAUUCCCUGUCCUGCUCCAACAUCCCUGAGGUUCGAAGGAAAAGCCACAGAGAUCACAGAGAUCAGAGGCACCGCCACAGUCUAGAAAAUGUCGUCGAACUGCUGCCUGGUUCACAGCAUGAACAUCAGAUGCCAAAACUCUCCCGGGGCCACAGCAAAAGCGAGGAGGCCCUUCAACAAAACAAGCACAAACAUGAUUACUCAGAAGGAUCUCACUCCAUGCAUCAUGGGCCACUUUACAAGACUGCAAGCCUGGGACAAAGCCUUGCCUUUGGUGGCAACACUCUAGGUGGCAGGGUGGUUCCCAAGAAGGCUGUUUCAACCUUUCAGCUACCCAGCAAAGGUAUUCUGAAAAACAAAUAUGAUGGACAGAAAGAAGGAAACUUCAGGAAAGCGAAGUCUAUGGAGGUGCUCUCCACCAGGGUGCACAUCACAGGAACAUCCAAGCAGAUCUCUACGGAAACUGCAAAGGAUAACUUUAUGAAAGGGAAGCUACAGUUCUCUGCAUUUCUGGAUGAGAUCACCAAGCAGGUUAUCAGUCCCUGUGCUCUUAGCUCUUUUGGUGUAAACACAUCAACGCCACCAAAAUCACCCAGUGAAGAGCGCAAGAACCGCAGCAGCAAGCAGGAGAGCUUUGUGCCAUCACCAAAACAGCAGCCCAUCAGAACCGAGAGACGUGAUUCAGAAAAAAACGAUUCAAGCUCACUUUCUCGAUCACAUAAGAGACCGAGCAAAUACCACAACCGAAACCUGACCAGUCCUCCACCCACGCCCCACCACCCUUCUAAAGCUGAAAGACAAGGGGCUGCUUCAGGUAAACAGCACCACAGGCAAUAUUCUCAGAUGCUCACUGAUGGUACCAGCACCAGCCCAGAAACUGUCCACACCAACCUCUCUAAACACAAAGAGCGACAUCAAAGUAGUCAUGGCCCUUUCAGACAGAUUCAUACCAAGCAGGAGAAGGGUUCACCGCCACAUUUGCGAGCCGCAGGGCUGGAAUCAGAGUCUCAGUCGAGUAAAUCAUCCACCAGUGGUAGUUCAGAGAAAAGUGACAGACCCAAACACAUGGGACACAGGAGGCAGUCCAAACCACACAGGGAUUCAUCUGGUUCCAUGGACAGAGUUCAGAUGCUGGAGGAGAACAACAAAGAGCUACAUGAGAACCUGUUGCAGACGGUGGCAUGCAUUGAGAACAUGGAGGCAGAAUUGCAGUGUACCAAGACAGAGUUAGUCAGCUUCAAAGAGAAAUACAGAAGGCUUCAGGAAAGCUAUUCUGUUUCUCAGCAGGCAAACAGUGUCUUGGAGCAGAAACUCAAAUCUGCGGUUCCCUCGUUCAUUAAAGAGUUGUUGAGAAAUCACUUUGAUUCUCGGGAAGCACUGGAGCACUUCUUAUGUCCUCGAACAUCUCCACGCCAACCUGAUAUUGACCAAUCAGAGAGGGCGCAGGAGGUCAGAAACAACCAACCAUCUGGUGGAAAAGAGGAAGUAUUUGAAUGGCCACAGACUGGACACACAUGUUCAGGUGCCAGACAACUGUCUGCCACAGCCUUUCUGCCAUGGAAACAUGAUCAUGAUCCAUGGGCAGGGCCAGGACAACUCAUGGCUAAAGGAAGUGAUUCACAACUUCCUUUUUCUUUUGAUGAUGAUGUGCCAAUCCACAAAACAAUGGCAGAUACAAAGGCCCCAAGUCAUCAAGUGCAUCAAUUAGCCAUGAACACAGAGAUCCACUUAAUUCCCCCAAACCCAUAUAAUCCAGUUGAGAUGAGGCUCAGCAGACAGACAGGUGGAGAGGGAACUGUCACUGUGGGGAAAGAGCCCACUGAUGUCAGCUAUCUUACAGCUCAAAGGAUGCUGAAUGAGUUUUUGAACCAGAUUCCUCCUCCAGCGCAUGAUGGUGAAGGGAAAGAUAGCUUAUAAGCAGAACUAUAACAAAAGGAAAGCAGUAACAUUUAAUUUGACAUCUUUUUGGUAAACUGUAUAGGAACUGGAUAAAAACCUCAAUAACGUCUCCCAUUACCAAUAUUGCAGCAAGGAUGCAAAUAACUGUGGCUCUGAUGGCUCUUUAUUGGUAGUUGUGAAAUACACUUGAUUUCUAGCUUUACAAGUAUAAUUGCUGUAUGCAUAUAAGUAUGUAGAUACGGUAUACCAUCUGGUUUUGUGCUAUAUCCAUUAAAACUUUUAGUUUUCUGGUUUCCUGCUUUCAUUUGUAGUUCAGUACAUUUGCAAAAGGCAUCCUUUGUAUUUGUGUUUUAUGCCUGUUUGCACUUUUUGCCGUGCAUAUUGUGAAAUAUUUAAGGUUAGCAAUAAAAUUGUAUAAUUCGAUAUUCA
ensembl:lncRNA